rnacentral:rRNA from 1 species
GACGAACGCUGGCGGCGUGCCUAAUACAUGCAAGUCGAGCGGACGAAUCGAAAGCUUGCUUUUGUUUCGUUAGCGGCGGACGGGUGAGUAACACGUGGGCAACCUGCCCUGUAGACGGGGAUAACACCGAGAAAUCGGAGCUAAUACCGGAUAACACGAAGAGUCGCAUGGCGCUUCGGUGAAAGACGGCGCAGGCUGUCCUUACAGGUUGGGCCCGGGGCGCAUUAGCUAGUUGGUGAGGUAACGGCUCACCAAGGCGACGAUGCGUAGCCGACCUGAGAGGGUGAUCGGCCACACUGGGACUGAGACACGGCCCAGACUCCUACGGGAGGCAGCAGUAAGGAAUCUUCCGCAAUGGGCGAAAGCCUGACGGAGCAACGCCGCGUGAGCGAAGAAGGCCUUCGGGUCGUAAAGCUCUGUUGUUAGGGAAGAACAAGUAACGCAGUAACUGGCGUUACCGUGACGGUACCUAACGAGAAAGCCACGGCUAACUACGUG